rnacentral:SRP_RNA from 1 species
GCUGGGCAUGGUGGUGUGUGCCUGUAGUCCCAGCUACUCAGGAGGCUGAGGUGGGAGGAUCACUUGAGCCCAGGAGGUCAAGGCUGCAGUGAGCCGAGAUUGUGCCACUGCACUCCAGCCUGGGCAACAGAGUGAGGCCCUGUCUCAA